AACCGGGAGAGGUAAGAGGUACUACAGGGGUAGGAGUGAAAUCUUGUAAUCCCUGUGGGACCACCUGUGGCGAAGGCGUCUUACCAGAACGGGUUCGACGGUGAGGGACGAAAGCUGGGGGCACGAACCGGAUUAGAUACCCGGGUAGUCCCAGCCGUAAACGAUGCUCGCUAGGUGUCAGGCAUGGCGCGACCGUGUCUGGUGCCGCAGGGAAGCCGUGAAGCGAGCCACCUGGGAAGUACGGCCGCAAGGCUGAAACUUAAAGGAAUUGGCGGGGGAGCACAACAACGGGUGGAGCCCUGCGGUUUAAUUGGACUCAACGCCGGACAACUCACCGGGGGCACAGCAAUAUGUAGGCCAAGCUGAAGACUUUGCCUGAAUCGCUGAGUAGAGGUGCAUGG
rnacentral:rRNA from 1 species